rnacentral:rRNA from 1 species
CCUUUGACGUUAGCGGCGGACGGGUGAGUAACACGUGGGUAACCUACCUAUAAGACUGGGAUAACUUCGGGAAACCGGAGCUAAUACCGGAUAAUAUUUCGAACCGCAUGGUUCGAUAGUGAAAGAUGGUUUUGCUAUCACUUAUAGAUGGACCCGCGCCGUAUUAGCUAGUUGUAAGGUAACGGCUUACCAAGGCGACGAUACGUAGCCACCUGAGAGGGUGAUCGGCCACACUGGAACUGAGACACGGUCCAGACUCCUACGGGAGGCAGCAGCC